CCAGACGUGAUCCUGGGGCACUGUCUGGGCCUGAGGUUGUAAUGUCCAGUAGAAACCAGGUCUGGGCUAGAACUGAGCAAAAGACCAUUGGAAUCAGUGUCCACGUCGGUAUUUGAGAACAUGAGAGGCGGCUGACCGUGG